rnacentral:rRNA from 1 species
AUUGAACGCUGGCGGCAGGCCUAACACAUGCAAGUCGAGCGGAUGAAGAGAGCUUGCUCUCUGAUUUAGCGGCGGACGGGUGAGUAAUGCCUAGGAAUCUGCCUGGUAGUGGGGGAUAACGUUCCGAAAGGAACGCCAAUACCGCAUACGUCCUACGGGAGAAAGCAGGGGACCUUCGGGCCUUGCGCUAUCAGAUGAGCCUAGGUCGGAUUAGCUAGUUGGUGAGGUAAUGGCUCACCAAGGCGACGAUCCGUAACUGGUCUGAGAGGAUGAUCAGUCACACUGGAACUGAUACACGGUCCAGACUCCUACGGGAGGCAGCAGUGGGGAAUAUUGGACAAUGGGCGAAAGCCUGAUCCAGCCAUGCCGCGUGUGUGAAGAAGGUCUUCGGAUUGUAAAGCACUUUAAGUUGGGAGGAAGGGCAGUAAGUUAAUACCUUGCUGUUUUGACGUUACCGACAGAAUAAGCACCGGCUAACUUCGUGCCUGCAGCAGCCGCAGUAA